UGCGGCUUGCCCACAUUUGUCUCAGAAUGCCAUAAGUGGCUUGGGGCCAAGGAAAAUUGUCCACCCUUGCCCUGCUGGGUCUCUUGGACUCCUUGGACGGUUUCCCAUUGUAUUUAGUGUCUUUCGGGAUUCAUUUGCAAACCAAAUUGGUCAGCACUACUUUCCAGUUGGAAAUGAAGGGGAUGAGAUGUGGUGUUUCAUUGUCACAGGACUUUGGGAAACGGUCACAGGCCUUUCCAGUGCAGAUACUGCCCCUACAGUGCCUCUCAGAAGGGAAAUCUGAAGACCCAUGUUCUUUGUGUCCAUCGCAUGCCUUUUGACAACAGCCAGUAUCCAGAUCGCAGGUUCAAGCGCUCCAGAGUUGACUCCGAGGCUUCUGGGAAUUUAGAGGAACCUGCAGCUGUCAAACCUGGGAGCUCAGCAGAGCUAACAGAGGAGGGCAGCAAGGCCCAAGAGUAAUGCAGCUGAACAAAUCAAUCUGUAUAUUGCAAUAUUAUUUUACACAGUUUUUAGAUAUGCAUUUGGUAAGAGAGUUUGCUAACUGCAUUCCAAGGGAAAAAAAAAGAAUCAUGUACAAAUCCCCAAUAGUGUACAGAACAUUUAAAAAAAUUUAAGACAUAUAUACGUAUAAAUAUAUAUAUAUAUACAUACAAAAAAUUCCCCUGGCCCUUGAAAAUGGCUGCUAAACUGUUACCUGGCAACAAGUACUUCCAAACAAUGCAGGUAGGAUAAUGAAGAGAUUUCAAAAUGCGAGGAGGUCAUUAGUUCUUUAAAAAGCAGGGGGGGAGCAUUUCGAAUCAAAAGUGGUCUUUGUCCAAAAAUAAUGCUCUUAACAGAAAAAUGAUACCAUCUAAAUGAUUUACUGUUGCCUUGAAGAUUGAGAGGCUGUGUUUGCAUUGUUGAAAACACCUUUAUAAUAUGACACCAGCUGCUGUCAUUUGCCUAGCAUAGUAAUGAGAUGUGUUGGUAGACUGCCAUGGUGCCAGUUAGACCGGAGCUGUCUUUGCAGAAAAAAAAAAAUCAAUUCAAGUGGUGUUGCAACUGCACUCUAGGAGAAAUCUUAGACGGCCCAUAAAGCGAGGGUCAGUCCUGACCUAUAUUGGAAAGGAUUGUGACUUUAUAUUCUCAUUUAAGAAGAAAAAAAACACACACACACAGCCAAAUGAAUCAGUGGUAGGGAGGUAUCUGCAGACCAACGUCCGUUGAGGAUUUGAUUAAUAAUUCCCUUUUUUUAGAUCAAAUUGCAGUAUUGAAAGAAAUGCUUUUAUUCUGUAUCUUUUUUUUUUAAAUGAAGAAGUAGGUUUGCUAUUAAAAAGAGAUGUAGGGGUAUAUUAUAUUAAAGUAUUGUUUAGUGAAACUAGUCACCCUUAUCUGAAGAAGGUGCUGGUGAGAAACUGAAGUUUAUGUAAUAAAUGGAGUUACUUUCUUUUGUCUUCCUUUCUUCUAAUUUUUUUUUGAACUUGAAUGAAGGAUUUCCAGUAUGGUUAAUUUUCAUUUGUUAGGUUUUAUAAGUGUUGAAGACAUAGUGCAGGGUUGUUUUUUUUCUCUCUUUCUUUUUCUGGAGCAAGCUCUUAAGAAGUAGCUUAAACUAAAAUAUGAAUCUAAACAUCCUGCUCUUUGUCUCUAAUGAAGAAAAGUGUUUUAGCUGAUAUUUCUUUGUUUUUGUAAAACAAAUGUGUUCUAUAUUUUUGCAGAUUUUAGCUUUUCUACUGAUUGGAUCCUCCAAAUGUACUGAGUUCUUCACCACAUAGGAAGCUUCUGAGAGACUAUAAUGAAAUACUUAAUGAAAAAAAUGUAAGACUGCUAGCAAAGUUUUAUUCUUAAGUCUGCUUGUAGCGCCUGAAAUGUUAGCCUUUUAACGUAGUUCCUUUGGUUGACGCCAGAUCGGUGCUGUUGAUGGUGAUGGUCCAGAAGUAUUAACUUCUCCUUAAACAAAAUCAUCCAGACUUUAAAAAAGAAAAGUCAAUAUUUCCUUGCAGGCUGGGAGCACAGAGUAAAACCCCAGGGCCUUAAAACUUCAGCUCUGCCUAAAGCAGUUUACAAAAGUACUAAACUGCAAUCAAUGUAAAUAAAAUUCUUAGCGCUAUCCUGAGACUGGAAAAAAAAAAAAUCUCAGGCUAAUAAGGAAUACGGUUUGCAUAUGCUGUCGGAAGGAUUGUCAACUGACUGAAGUUUCAGUUUAAAUGGAGGUCGCUCUGCAGUGUGGCCAGUUUGGUACAGAGCAAGCUGCUUUCUUCUUUUUCUAGUAUAGUUCUCACUGCCUUACUUAAAUCAAGUUGAUAAACUUAAUGCAACUGUUUCUAUGAUCCUAGGUAAAGGAUUGAAAUGUUAUUGAAAACUUUCUGACCGUAGUAAGCUUUAGGAUUUUAACUGCACUACUGUGUUUGGUGACUGUGUCAGUCGCUUGCUUUUUGUGUGUUUGCGCCGCCUUCAGUAUCUUAGCAGAAAAAAAAAAGCAAAAAAUACAAAAAAUAAAAAAGAUCCACAUUCCAUUUCUGGCACUUUUGGAGCUCUUUCAGUAUUCUUUUGUGUCUUCUGAGCAUUUUCAGAUACGACAGGCAAUAAUUCUGUUUGUGACACUGGGAACAUCUCCCCUUUUUUGUGAUGUGCGUGCUGAUUCCAUUUAGUCCGGUGCUACCGUCCCUAUUUUCCCCUCUGACAUAGGUCUUUUUUCCAGAACAUUUGUAACUUGUAAUACAAACAAGUGACAGCAGCCGUGAUGCAUUGUCAGUUUCUGAAUAUCAUCAUGCUUCUCAUAUCUAAACAUGUCAAGUUUUUUCUCUGUAACUUCUGUAGUCUGUGAUACUGGUCAUAAUACUGUCUACAUUCCUACACAAAGAAAAAUUUCUAUCUUGGAGUAAAUCUGAGAUCAAUAGAGUAGAGGAUUUUGUUGCUAUGCUUGUAACAAGUAGAAAACUUUGUAUUGAAAGUUUAUUCUUGGUCAUUAUUUAUUAUUAUAAUACAUCAGUUGACAGAACUUUAUUCUGGUAUAGAAGUAUUAAAAGUUGUUUUUUCAGCAAUGACUUUUCUUUCUGCUGUUAGAAUAAAAUGUCUUUGAAGCAGUACAGUUUUAUCCAGUGUUUUCCGCAAUAAAACCUCUACCUCUGAAAAA